rnacentral:tRNA from 1 species
AAGACUUUAAGUUAAAAAAACUAUAUACCUUCAAAGUAUAAAAUAAAAUCAAAUUAAGUCUUA